CUUAACAUGUUUAUUUACAGCUUGUUGUGACGUGACGCGCGUGACUGUGGCAGCCAGGCCCAGAUGCCGUGCGCAGGUGAGCGAGGUGUCCCGGGGAAAGGUCGACCUCUCCUGCAGUCGUUUGGAGUGAGACUCAAGCAAGCGUCCAGAGUUUCAGUCAAUAAAAGUUGGGCGCAUGGGAACAGAAGAGACCACCCUUUCUCCGCAACAAUAAAGAAGACUAAACAACUUCCCAAAUCACGAGGACCUGAGCCCUAGGACCAUGCCUCAGGACUACCUGGCU